CGAGGAAUCUUGGGCAAUGGGCGAAAGCCUGACCCAGCGACGCCGCGUGGAGGAUGAAGGCCCUAGGGUCGUAAACUCCUUUUGUCGGGGAAGAAGAUCUGACGGUACCCGACGAAUAAGCCACGGCUAACUACGUG
rnacentral:rRNA from 1 species